UACAGAGGUCUCAAGCGUUGUUCGGAUUCAUUGGGCGUAAAGGGUGCGUAGGUGGCGCUGUAAGUCGGGUGUGAAAUUUCGGAGCUUAACUCCGAAACUGCAUUCGAUACUGCGGUGCUUGAGGACUGGAGAGGAGACUGGAAUUCAUGGUGUAGCAGUGAAAUGCGUAGAGAUCAUGAGGAAGACCAGUGGCGAAGGCGGGUCUCUGGACAGUUCCUGACACUGAGGCACGAAGGCCAGGGAGCAAACGGG
rnacentral:rRNA from 1 species